ensembl:lncRNA
AGAUCUUAAAGCCAUCUAGUCCAGUCUCCUAUUAGAUGAGGAAAAUGGGGUCCAGAGAGGUUAGGUGGCUAUGAGAGGCUGGAAUCAAACUUACAUCUUCUGAUCCAAAUGCAGACUUUGUAAUGCUACUUGUCUAGGAUUCUUUCUAGUCACUUGAAAUGAGGUAGGCAGAUAUUGGCAGAGGAAGGAGAAUGUCACGUGUGUCCUGCAAGAAAGCCGCCAUUACCUGACACAAAUCUAAGCUUCCUUCCUUCCCCAGCCUCCCUAUGAUUGCCCCUCUUCCCCAUGAACCAGGAUGAAUGUGCCAUCAUUUCCAGGAUGAACAUAAUUUCUGCUCAGUCACAUGUGGUUAAACGAGGGAACCACAGAACAUGUUCAAGGUCUCUUCCAACUCAGCUCUCCUGUACCUCUUCUUCUCAGUUUAUUUACACUGUGCCCUUCCCCCAAUCACGACAACUUGAUUUUAACAUUAAAACAAUUUAUUAAUUUUAAAUUUUUUUCCAGAAAUGCUGGUUAUAAUUUUUCAUUUACAAGGGAAAAUACAAACCAACAUACAGUUUUAUUUUGGGACUAGUGCAACAGAUAGACCAGAAAGGACAAGGGGCAAAGGUCUCUUUCCUUUGCCAGUGGGACACGCGCCUUCCCCAAAGACAUUCAUGAAGGUGAGGUGGGCUGCGGGGUAGAAAAGGAAGGGAAGAUGUUUAAGGACCUCCUCUCCUUUUGUCCAGUCUCUAGCUAUCAAAAUGUCUACAGUUUCAGCCAUUGGAGUCAUGUGUAAAUAUCCUAUCCUAGAACAUCAUGGUCUCUCCAGAUCCAGAAACACAGGCUUCUUACUACAUUCACAAAACAGUGGAGAAUUGGCUAACUAAUUAUUAGGGUUCCUCCUAGCCUCUGAAUAAAGAAAAAAACAUUUGAAAGGGAUUAAUCUAGGUAAUUUCCCCCCUCCCCCCAAUAUAUCAUGGGGUCAAAAGUGGGCCCAGAUAUAACAAACUUGUCCAGGCUGGAGCUCACAACCAGGUUGAUUCCCUGCACAAUUUCUACAAAUUUACAGCCUCUUUGGGUUCUCACAGCCAGCUCUUCUGCCUGUCCUUAAUCCCCAUCCUCCUGGAAUUUGACAAUGGCCUCAGCCUCCUCAAAGGACUGGUAAGGCACUUGUUUACUACCUGAGAGUGAAUUAAAGUUUUAUUUGGAGGAUUUUAAGAGAUCUCUGAUAAUUAGAGAGCCAAUGGGGUGUAACAAAACCAAGGCUGGGUAAUUCUGCAUGUGAGCAAACAUAAAUAAUAAUUUGCUGCAAAGAGUUUUAAAGAAAACUAGAUCCUAGCAGUUAUGUGGUGGGUUUAUUUUAUACAGAUAUAGAAUCUACAAGCAUAGAUUCAUCUAUCUAUAUCCCUAUAUACACUUGUGUAUUUUAUACAUAUGCAUCUAUAUGUGUAUACGUGAUAGGCCAGAAACUUCUAAAGCAGCGAUUUCAAAAUACGUGAUCGAUGGCCACUGGUGUGUUAUUGUGCUUCAUUUCAUAAAAGGUCUGAUCAAUUCCUAGCUUUUUUUUUUAACCAUUUAUGGAUAAAUGAUUAUUUUAAAAACAUUCUUUGGAUUUAUAGGCUAUCUUUUCUUUAAAAGGCACAAAACAUUUUCCCAGGUAUAUGACUUCCUUGCUCAAUGUUCAGAAUCCAAUCCUUUGCCUUUCAGCGUGAUGGCUUAUCCAGUCAAUAUUUUCUCAUCUCUCCUGAUGCAGGAUUUUGGGAACCUGGACACUUCACAAAAGCUCAUCCAAGUCAUUAUUCAUGACCAACAACAUUUGUUUAAAAGCAAAUAGUUUACACCACAGUGAUGUACAAAAGUAUUUCUUCAUGCAGAAAUAUAAAUAAAACCAUAAAAUGCAUUAGGUAUGGAAAAUACAAACUUUCUAAAUCAGUUUUUGAAUCCUUAAAUUAUAUCUCCAUUAUACAUCCCAAAUAUAACUCGUUUCAUUUUCAAUAGCAAUGGAAUUUAAGGGAACUGAACUCCAAGGAAGCCUCACUGAAAGUAAGCUCUGAAAAUGUUACUAACCUUUGCUUACAUGGAAAUUAAUUUGCAAAUCAGUCAACUCUUUUCCCUUUGAAAGCAAGAAGACACCAAGUUUCAUAUUCCUCCGAGCACCAGUAAGGGGAAAGUACUUGCAGAAGCCAUCUCUGCCUGCUCCUCCAUACUCACUAGGGAACUACUGCAGUACUCGGACAAUUUAUGGGGUAGAUGUAGGACAAGCUUGCAAAGACUGGGGCAACAAUGUUUUAAGACAAUCUUCCUUUCAGAGAACUGUUGUAGGAGCCCUGGAGUUAUGCUUUAGUGCCAGGACCAAUCCUACAUGGAGAGCCAGGUUAAGAACAUAGGAUAUAAAGUAUGCCCUUCGUACUACCUUGGAGUUGAAUGUUCCCAUUUUGCAGACUCCUUUUCAAAUUUUUGCCAACCAGAAUUACUGUUCUGUAUGUGAUUCUGAUAGCUAUUAUGAGAAAACAGCCUUACAUUAAAACAAAACAAAACAUUACUUCUGUAAUAAAAAUGAAGCAUGAUGACUAAGAUGGAAAAGACAUGGCAUAAAGAGCUAAAUAUCUCUUUACAAAUGUUCAUUUUCGAUCAAAAGGUCUCCUUAUAUUGCUUCAGUACAAUUAAACCCAUGGGUCUACAUUGAUUUGAUUAGGUCUUCCAACGUACGAGCCACCAGAGUUCUACAGGAAGGAAGAAUAAAAUUUAUAGGAGAACUUAAAAGAGGAAAGAUGAGAGAUAGUGAGAAGGAAAUAAAAACAUCUGUUGUCAGGUUGUCCGAGCAUUACACUGGAAGAUGGCUUCCCAAGUACAAUAAUAGGUUUGGGGAAUUUGUAGUCACUAUCACACUGGUCUCCAUUAAUAGUCAAAGGCUCAUUUUAUAAAGGAACAAAACUAUGGGGUGACAUGACAACAAAAACACCCCCAGAUGACAAUUUUUGUCAUCUUCACAAUUAAAUUAUAUUUGCAUAGCACAGUAGUUUACCAAUUUUCACAUUUGUAUCUUCUUAAUCCUCACAAUCACCUUGUGAGGGAGGGAAGCAGUGAGCUGGGAAAGAAAGUAACACUCAAGUUUGGAACUAUGCUCAAAAAGUUAUCAAACUGUGCAUACCCUUUGAUCCAGCAGUGUUACUACUGGGAUUAUAUCCCAAAGAGAUUAUAAAGAAGGGAAAGGGACCUGUAUGUGCACGAAUGUUUGUGGCAGCCCUUUUUGUAGUGGCUAGAGACCGGAAACUGAAUGGAUGUCCAUCAGUUGGAGAAUGGCUGAAUAAAUUGUGGUAUAUGAAAAUUAUGGAAUAUUACUGUUCUGUAAGAAAUGACCAACAGGAUGAUUUCAGAAAGGCCUGGAGAGACUUACACGAACUGAUGCUGAGUGAAAUGAGCAGGACCAGGAGAUCAUUAUAUACUUCAACAACAAUACUAGAUGAUGACCAGUUCUGAUGGAUCAGGCCAUCCUCAGCAACGAGAUCAACCAAAUCAUUUCUAAUGGAGCAGUAAUGAACUGAACUAGCUAUACCCAGAAAAAGAACUCUGGGAGAUGACUAAAAACCAUUACAUUGAAUUCCCAAUCCCUAUAUUUAUGCACACCUGCAUUUUUGAUUUCCUUCACAAGCUAAAUGUACAAUAAUUCAGAGUCUGAUUCUUUUUGUACAGCAAAAUAAUGUUUUGGUCAUGUAUACUUAUUAUGUAUCUAAGUUAUAUUUUAAUAUAUUUAACAUCUACUGGUCAUCCUGCCAUUUAGGGGAGGGGGUGGGGGGGGUAAGAGGUGAAAAAUUGGAACAAGAGGUUUGGCAAUUGUUAAUGCUGUAAAGUUACCCAUGUAUAUAUCCUGUAAAUAAAAGGCUAUUAAAUAAAAUUAAAAAAAAAAAAAAAAAAAAAGAAAGUAACACUCAGGUCAUACCUUUCCCAAGAUCACACAGCUAAUAAGGAGCAUGGCCAAAAAUACAAUACAGACAGUCUUUACUUAACAGAAAAGACAUAUCAAUCUUGUUUUAAAGAAUUUAGAAGACAUCCAGCUACUCAGGACUAAUGGAAAUGGUCAUCAUGGAAAUAGAGCACUGCAAUAUUUUAUUUAAAAAACAACAAACAAACCUAACUGGAAAGGGCUUUUAAGGUACGUAUUAUUUUUUUCCAAAGAGAUAAAAAAGUGUUUCAGAAAGGGACUUAACUGUGGGCCUUGCCGAUUCUAUGAGAAUGAAUUAAAUGAAAAAAGUGAAAAAGAUUUUUAAAAAUUUUCUCCAAUAAGGUAAAAUAUGUAUUAGUAAAACAGAAAAGAUCCUAGGAACUCUGAGCAAAAAAACUUGUAAAAUAUAGUGGGCAACUGGUAGGGCAUGAUAUUUAUGUUCUUUUUUUUUUUUUUAUGCUGAUGGUCCAGGAGAUGGUUCUAAGCACAGGCCUGGUUUAUUUCAAACUGUACAGGUUUGAAAAUGAUGAAUAAAUCUAGUGAAUUUCAGAUUAUAAAUUUUGUGGCAAAUGCACAAUUUUUCUAAAUAAUCCGUGGAGACUCAUGUUUCUCGUUCCAUGUUCAACAGCUCUUGCCAAGCUAGGUCUCCCUGACAUUAUCUUCCCUAUUCCCCAAGAAAAAGAUAAUUUUGGUUAUGUCACCAAAAAAAGGGUUGCUUAAGGGCAGAAGUAAUUACUGACAUGUAAUUACCUCCCUACUCUCUCAGCCAACAGCCCAAUGUGUGACUUAGAGCAAGCGGAGGAUAAACACCAUCUUGGACAAUCCAAAGAGGAAGUGGCAAAAGGAGCUUAUUUUAGCUGACCCCAGAUGAUGCAGAAGCAUAAACUGGAGAGCAGAAACCAGUCUGUCAGUUAAUAAAACACAAAUACAGCCUGUCUCUUCACCUGCCAACUUGUCAAACUAGUAAGCUUCCACUUUUUCUUUUUUGGCACAGUAGGACUAAAAGAGGAAAUCGGCUUGUUACUUAUCAGGUUCCGAAUCAAGGUCAGUCUGAAGACCUGACCAAAAACAUCUCUCCGUCUUGGAUGAUAACUCUAUCAUCAGUCUCUGUAAUGAUCUUUGGAUACAUUUAGGAAAAGCUAAUGAGAGAGGAAAGAGCAACCCUUAGAGAAGCAGCAGCCCAGUUGACAGGCACGUCAUACACUGACAGAGAGCAGAGAGAACUGUCUCCAGACUUAACUGCCCAGUUUAAGCCUCCUCCUUCAGCGCUGUCACGUGCUUCAUGAGAACUGUCAGAGACAUGACAACUUAAUUUCUGAAAUCCCUUACUUUGAGAUGUAAGGGGCCUUAGAAAUGAUCUAAUGCAGGGAUUCUUAACCUGGAGUGCAUACAUUUGGUUUUUUAAUAAAAUAUUUUGAUACCUGUAUUUCAGGAUAAUUGGUUUCUUGCCACAGGGCUCCCUGCCACUCACAGAAAGGUCUGAUAUACUGGAACCUCCUCAUUUUAGAGAGGAGGAAACCCAAAGCCAAAGUGGUUGUGGCAAUCAAGCAGCACUUGCUUGGCGUCUCCUGGGGACAGGAAGAGGGUCGCGGGUGUUCCUGAGCCAGGGGAUCACAGAGUGGUCUGGUUAAAGAGCAGAUAACAAAACAGUGGGGGAGUAGGCCGUGGGAGCCAUGGAUUAUGUCAGAGUCAAAAAGGGAAAUCUAGCCUUUUGUUUUGCUAUUGGUACAACAGGGAAGGGGGCUCUCUCUUUAGCUUUGUUUCCCGUCCUCCUUUUGUAAUGAUAAGUAUCCUUGCUUUGGGGUGGGCAUUAGUAAAAUAAGUGAUUGGUAGAAAACUUAAUAUAAAAAUUAAUUAGCCCCAGCUGAUCAACAUUUAUUACUCCAUUGUACUAUUCUUUUCUGAUCAGCAAGUCACUCUCUCUAUUCAGCUCUUCCUGAGAGUCACUAGUUUAUAAUAAAACUCAUAUGGUAACAACUAAUGUUCAGAACUAGAUUUUGCUCCAACAGUCAAAAUCCAAGGCUUCUAAUACACUACUGAACAAAUUCAAACAAAUAAUCUAUAUGGGCCUCCACGGGCCCAUUUCUUAUGCCCAUCAUUAUUGUUCUAGGAGGAGAUGUAAAGAAAUACUGAGUGAAUUCAGUGUUACCUUUUUAAGCUUUUUCAUUCAGAUCCUAUGGUUCUGAAGAGGUGAGGCAAUCAUUCCAAAUAAUGGACUAUAGAACUGUCUCCACUCAGAAAUUCCUACAUUUAAUGAUUUCUAGGCUUUCUUUUAGGGGGAUAAAUGAAAAAAUUAUCAAAACUAAUUUUAACCUCCCUUACUUAUAAAAAAAAUAAAAUAACAGCAUCAUAGGUAUGUGACAGGGAUUCAAAAAAAAUCUAGUCAUAAAAUAUCCCCAAAUAGCUUUGAAUCACUGGUUUACACAACUGGGCAGUGGGUGUGCAUCCUGAUCACAGGUGCAACCACAGGGGCUGUAUACUUGUAAUGAAAUUUGGGACCGUUAUUAAAUUUGUGAUUGUGUGUACAUAUACACAAAUACUUGUGAGACACCACGUACAGCAAAUAUAUUUAUGCACACAUCUCUUUUAGUCUCAAACUUUAGUUCAACAGGUGAUGACUGAUGAGUAUGCAGACAUCUUAUCAACAGAACUCAAAAAGAUGCCAGAACUAAUACUCCUUAUGAGUAAUGUCAGAUGUCAUUCAUCUGACCCCAAGGAAGAACAUACCCAACAAAUGCUGUUGCUAUCACAGUAAGUAGAAGAAUGACGCCAAUGUUUCAUGUUUCUUUGUAGAGGUAAGAUCCGUAGUAGAUUGCUCGACCCACAUGUAGAAACAGGCAUAUAAAGAAUAUAGAAGCCCCAUUAGCGUGCAGGUUACAAAGUAGUCAGCCGUGGUUAACAUCACGGCAAAUAUGAGCUACAGAGGAGAAAGUGGUAAGUGUAUCUGAAGUACAGUGUAUUGCUAGGAAGAGGCCUGUGAGGAUUUGAAUAAUUAGGCAUACUCCUAAUAGAGAUCCAAAGUUCCAUCAGGCAGAGAUAUUAGAUGGAGUGGGCAGGUCAAUAAAAGAGUGGUUGAUAAUUUUUAAAAGGAGGUGUGUCUUUCGUAGAUUGGUCAUUAGUUUUUGUAGUUGAAUUACAACAAUGGUUUUUCAGGUCAUAGGUUAUGGUUUAAGUCCAUACUAAAACUAAUAUGGAAAUGAUGCUUAUUUUUGUAUUGUCUUUG